UAAAUAGUUUAUCACUUUUUUAUUUGAUUAAAUUCUAAAAUUAAUAAUUAAAAAAAAAUUUUAAUUUUUAUAGAGAUCUUAUUAUUGAACCAUCCUAAUGGUUGUAAACAUGAAAGAUUGGAUUUAUUACCAAAAACGGGAUGUGUGUCUGAUAUCCUUAAUAAUUAAAAAGUAGAGGGAGGAAGCGAUAAAACGAAUACGACGAUAGGAUUAAAAAAGUAUUUCACUACUUGCUCAUCCAUGCCAUAAAUAAAUAUGAUUCAACCGGAUGGAAGUAGAAUAAAAGUAUAAGCACAAGCAUAAGUAUAAUAAACGCGUAUAAAGUAAAAUAAAGUAUUUAAUAGGUAAGAAGAGAUGUAUGAUGUACGAUGAGCAGUGUGUACAAAAAUACAUGUAGUCUAAAAUGGUUUUGCAGUACCGGUGUGUAAGCACCUGGACCACCUAUUUGGAAAAUUCAUCAUGUUUAUACCUGUAACCCGCAUCUGCCUGUCACUCCCUCUCGAUUCUUCUGUCGCGUGCUCAUUUUUUUUUUUUUUACUUUAUUUUAUACUUCUCAUCUCCCCUCAUACUCUGAUGCUAAAAUCCCGUCUCCAGUCUACAGUCUACAGGAAUUACAGCCACACACUCAAGCAAUACAACACACACCCUGAUACAAAGACAAGAAAAUAAUGAACUCUGUAUAAAUUGCCGUCCGAAAAACGAGCUAGCGUUUUGGAUGACGGUAUUAUUUAUCUUAUAUACCGGUUGUUAAAUUCAACAAAUGGAUUUGUUGUGAUGAUUAUUUUUAUUUUAUUAUAUUCAUUCGAUACGUUUUUUUACAGCAGCAGCAGGAGCGAGACCAGGUUGUCCAAUUGGCCAAACCAGGCUCGAAAGAAAUCCAAGACCAAGACCAAGAUCCAGACCAAGAAGAAGAAGAAGAAGAAGAAGAAGAAGAAGAAGAAGUAAAGGUGGUACAGGAAUAGUAUAGACUUGUGGAUAAAGUAUACAAGCAAUUCUCGAAAGAGCGAGGGAGGAGUAAAGAGGGAGAGUCUUAAGCAGGGGGCAGCAGGUGAUGCGCCAGGUGGAAUACGACGGCGCGUGCGCUGCCCCCCGCCUUCCGGUCACGUGUCCUCACCCUCAACCUCCCCUACAACUGAGCACACACGCUCCUCAAGUCCUUGCACACCUAAUAACUCCUUACUCAUUCCUUCUUUUCUUAUUCAAUCUUUUUUUCAAGCUUUUUUUAUUAUUAUACAUCCUUAUUAUUUAGUUUAUUUUUCAGCGUAUCACAGCUUUCAUUUUAGGGGUCUCGUGCCAAGUCCGUCAACCUUACGACACUGACAGAUGCACACCAGAAACCAGAGACCAGAGUCCAAGUUCAGAAACUCUUCAGGAGCCCUUUCCCAACAGCUAAACAGUAACAGGGCCCGUGUACACGUUUUGCUGCUGCUGCUGCCUCUGGUGCCUUCCUUUCCUUCCGUUCAUACACUUCUUCAGCGGCUUCACUAUCGAGAGCCAGACAGGAAGCUCGAUAACCAUCGACCCGUCGGGGUUGCUUGAGAUUUUUUUGUUCACCGUUAUUUAUUUCAACUAAAAAAUUAUCUCGGACUCUUAUUAUUAUUUUAUGAGCUAUUAGUUAUUAAUAUCGCUGCAAUUUAAGCAGUUCAAAAUUAAACUUAGCUUGCGUCUAGAUGAAGAAAGACCUCCGCUAAACUAAGAAGGCUGUAUUAUGACGAUAAACGACUACUAGAAUGCUAAGUUCACUUUUAUAUUAUAUAUUAUGACGAUAUCGGAAGUUUAUUCUACGAACUAACGACAAAUAUGCGAGGAAUUAUAAAAAUUGGAGAGUUCACAUAUGUAUGCCUUAUUAUCAGACAAAAUUGAAGUGCCUGGAUGCUCAAGAUAUGUAAAAAUUAAUAAUCAAGUGGACGAAAUAAAUUUCAACGACUCGCCGAUUUUAUUUUAUUGAAUAAACGUAAUUGAUGGUAAAGAGGGGAGUUAAUAUUUAUUUACAAUAAAGUACAAUGCAAAAUCACUUUAUCGAGGAGCAGAUGCGCUAGUCGACGAGUAGAGGUUGGCCCAGGCCAGGCCAGCGUGAGCCGAAGGCAUUAAAUUAAACCGCAACAGAUGCGAGUCACAUUUGCUCUCUAGUUGGAUUCCAGAAUCGUGCAUUUGAUUCGAAGCAUUGGCAUUAUUUAUUUUCGGAAUACACUGUGUUGGUAUUAUUUUUCUGUAUAAAUUUUAAAUUGUUAAAUGUUAAACAAACACCCAGCAAGUGAGUAAUAUAAUACAAUGUAAUGUAUUGCAAUGUAAUAUAAUGAUAUAAUGCUUUGGAUAAAUAACAUAAAGCAACCGGACAGCUGCAUUUUGUGCAUAAUUUCGAUCGGAUCCGAGUGUGUGAUGAUCACGUCAACGAUGAUCGUGAUCUUGGUUUACGGUACAUACACGCGAGGGCUCAUAUUCACUGUACUACUAUAUACUAUACGGACAGUAAUUACAUCAAUGAAUGUACAUACUGAGUUGAGUACGUAAUGAGUGUUGCUGUGUACCUUGUGGGCACGUGUUAUGGUUGUAAGCAGUAAUACUCCGGGUUUUAUAACCCUGUCUGUAAGCAAGGUGCUUUACCAGUCAAUUGAUCAGAUACUAUACUUUUUAUCAAUGCUUGUUAAAUUAACUUUUUAUUGUAUUUAUGUAAAUUUCAAUUAUUUACUUCACUUCUAGAUUAAAUUUAUUAUUAUUUAAUUAAAGAGAUGAAU